UCAGAAAGGCAGUGUGGGAAGAGAGUACCAAAGUCCAGGUGAUGCAGAGGUGAUCCAGCUACUGGCUAGAUCCCUGGUGCCACCCAUCUUCCCAGCAUAUAAGUACUGCAGACUGGCCACAGUGCAGCAGAGUGGGCAGAAAGGAAGCCCUGCAGAGGAUCACACACACAGCUGGAGGCAGAACACAGAGGAAUAAAUUGCUGAGAGACAAGCAGGGAUGGACCUGUUUUCAGCUCUCUCACUAGAAACCUGCGUCCUCCUGGCAAUCAGCCUGGUGCUCCUCUACUGGUAUGGGACCCAUACACAUGGACAUUUUAAGAAACAGGGAAUUCCUGGGCCCACACCUCUGCCUUUUUUAGGCACUUUGCUUAAUUACUACAAGGGUUUAUGGAAAUUUGACAUGGAGUGCUCC